GUCGAGUCCGGCCGGGCAGUAGAGGAAAUUGCGGUAGUGACCCUCGGGCCUCGCCAUGAAGAGCCGCUUUAGCACCAUUGACCUCCGCGCCGUACUCGCGGAGCUGAAUGCUAGCUUGCUAGGAAUGAGAGUAAACAAUGUUUAUGAUGUGGAUAAUAAGACAUACCUUAUUCGUCUUCAAAAACCGGACUUUAAAGCUACACUUUUACUUGAAUCUGGCAUACGAAUUCAUACAACAGAAUUUGAGUGGCCUAAGAAUAUGAUGCCGUCUAGUUUUGCCAUGAAGUUUUAUGGAUGAGGUAACAGGCCAAUGAAAUAGGACACUGGGAUUGUGUAAACAUCUCCAAAUCAGACUACACUAAUAGUGCCGAAAACAUUUGAAGAGUCGGAGAUUAGUCAGUGCAAAACAGCUUGGUGUGGAUAGAAUUGUAGAUUUUCAAUUUGGAAGUGAUGAAGCUGCUUAUCAUUUAAUCAUUGAGCUCUAUGAUAGGG
rnacentral:sRNA from 1 species